GAUCAUACUUGAAGGUUUGGAUUUCUGGAAAAGAUAUACAAAAAGACCAAUCAGCCGUGACAUUUGGCUUUUCAGAGAUCCUAUCUAUUACACUGUCAGUGGAGGAGGCUGAUGUACUGUAGGCCAAGUGUCAACAUAAGUGUCUCAGAAGUCUUCACCAGGGAAUUGCUACUUUUCGGCAUGACAAGGUUUCGCCUUACAACGCUUAGCCCAUUCCCUUGGAAAUUGUUAACAAGGGCUUGUUAAAAUUAAAUUUAAAACACUUACGCACAUCUUUUCUAUUUAGCUUGUGUUGCAGUGUGUUUAGAGCUCUACAUUUAAUUUAC